rnacentral:rRNA from 1 species
UACGGGGGGAGCAAGCGUUGUUCGGAUUUACUGGGCGUAAAGAGCGCGUAGGCGGCUCGGUAAGUGUGAAGUGAAAUCUCUAGGGCUCAACCCAGAAACUGCUUUACAUACUGUCGAGCUGGAGUGAUGAAGAGGUUUGUGGAAUUCCUGGUGUAGCGGUGAAAUGCGUUGAUAUCAGGAGGAACACCCAUGGCGAAGGCAGCAAACUGGUCAUCAACUGACGCUGAGGCGCGAAAGCGUGGGUAGCAAACAGG